CAUUUCUCGAAAACUAUCAGUCGUAGGUAGGUAUCGGUCUCCGAAAACUGAAUACCACCCCACCAGAGCCUCGCUAGUCGUUUGCCGUUGGGCAGAGAGCGCGUACGCAUUAACGGCAGCCAUUUUUCGUUUUUGUCAUCGCGCGAUGUAAUUUUUUACCUAACUUCGUAAGCUCAUAACUUCAUAAAAUAUUACUGUAUGGAAAAGUGAAUUAUACCAGGGGAAAGGAUAACAUCUACAAAUACAGACAAACAUGGGAUAAGGAGGCAAUGGCUAAUGCAAUUAAAGCAGUAGAGGGGCCUUCUAAUGACCCAGCGCGCGAUAUAACGACACCGGUUGAUAUAAUUCCUGAUAACCUGAUACCUCAGCAAAGGGCUGUUGUACCUGAACCCGAUAACUGCUUACUUGAGACAAAGGCUGUUGCAUCUCCCACACCUUAAUCUGUAAUUGAACCAUCACCCCAGACUCGUUGAUGGACAUCAUGAAGCAAAUG